CAGAGCUAUUGGUAAGAGUAAAAAGGGAGGGCCACAUUCUGCACAACAAAUACACAUCUACAGCUCCAGGCAAAUAUUAUCUUCUCACCACUGCAAGCUGCACAUGAUACAACACAAGCUCUUGAAGAGAUAACUCCGCUCUGUGGCAGUCCACCUACACGUUGUGCGCACACCACCUAGAAUGGAAACCAAGGUGCUCAUGAGUUGUAACAUGGAAAGAGCCGUCUCCUCCCCAGAACUGUAUGCAAGAAUUCUUUGUAAAAUGAAAGAGGUUUUUCAUGGUACUCGGGAGGCAAAAGCUAGCCAAGGUUCUUGGAGGAAAAUUUUGCUGGCCAUAGGAGUUAUGUUGGUCUUCACAUUGAUGGUGAUGUUGCUUCUUUGGAACUACAAAUGUAUUGUGGUUGAUCAUCUUUGUUUGGGUGGUGGUGAUGAUGCAGAGAACCCCACAACUAAAGAUAAUGAGAUUUACAAUAUCGGCACCAAUGACCUUGUUCGUCAGUCAUGAGUCACUGUUUUUGAAUGAACCACCUUAUAACUGUAAAGUUGGACAUCCUAUUAAAUGGAUACACUUGAUAGUGUGCAGUUGACAUUAAUGUUCUACAGACAUAACAUAACCUUUAACAUCGUAUAGCAGAUUAUUGAUUUAUCUUGGUGGCCAUUUAAGGUUGGACGUGUGUCUUUUUUUUCAGCCAGACUAACUAUGUAAGGCUGAAAAGUAACAGCAUUAAUUAAAUUGUAUGUAGCACCAUCAGAAAUCAUAGAGCUAUGUAAAA